UGAGACCGGGAGAGGCUAGAGGUACUCCUGGGGUAGAGGUGAAAUUCUGUAAUCCUAGGGGGACCACCAGUGGCGAAGGCGUCUAGCUAGAACGGGUCUGACGGUCAGGGACGAAGCCCUGGGGCGCGAACCGGAUUAGAUACCCGGGUAGUCCAGGGUGUAAACGCUGCUUGCUUGAUGUUAGUUGGGCUCCGAGCCCAAUUAGUGUCGGAGAGAAGUUGUUAAGCAAGCUGCCUGGGAAGUACGGUCGCAAGACUGAAACUUAAAGGAAUUGGUGGGGGAGCACAGCAACGGGUGGAGCGUGCGGUUUAAUUGGAUUCAACGCCGGAAAACUCACCGGAGGCGACGGUUACAUGAAGGCCAGGCUGAUGACCUUGCCUGAUUUUCCGAGAGGUGGUGCAUGGCCGCCGUCAGUUCGUACCGUAAGGCGUUCUGUUAAGUCAGAUAACGAACGAGACCCUCAUCUUUAAUUGCUACUAGUAAGUCCGCUUACUGGGCACAUUAGAGGGACCGCUGGCGAUAAGUCAGAGGAAGGCGGGGGCAACGGUAGGUCAGUAUGCCCUGAAUCCUCCGGGCUACACGCGCGCUACAAAGGCUAGGACAAUGAGUUUCGACACCGAGAGGUGAAGGUAAUCUCGAAACCUAGUUAUAGUUCGGAUUGAGGGUUGAAACUCACCCUCAUGAAGCUGGAAUCCGUAGU
rnacentral:rRNA from 1 species